UAUUGCUCAAUGGGGGAAACCCUGCAGCAGCAACGCCGCGUGGAGGAUGAAGGUUUUAGGAUUGUAAACCCCUUUUGUUAGAGAAGAUUAUGACGGUAUCUAACGAAUAAGCAACGGCUAACUCCGUGCCAGCAGCCGCGGUAAUACGGAGGGUGCAAGCGUUACUCGGAAUCACUGGGCGUAAAGAGUGCGUAGGCGGGGUAAUAAGUCAGAUGUGAAAUCCUGUAGCUUAACUACAGAACUGCAUGUGAAACUGUUACUCUGGAGUGUGGGAGAGGUAGGUGGAAUUCUUGGUGUAGGGGUAAAAUCCGUAGAGAUCAAGAGGAAUACUCAUUGCGAAGGCGACCUGCUGGAACAUUACUGACGCUGAUGCACGAAAGCGUGGGGAGCAAACAGG
rnacentral:rRNA from 1 species